GGUUGAUUUAACUAACUCUUAUCAGGUGCCCGCAGAACCGACAUGAUCAGGGUAAGCAGGUUUUAGGUUAUCAACCGAAAGUUCAAGAUUUCUGGAAUUCACCCUAGUAGCUCUGUGUGUGUGUAAACAGACCUUAUGUAUGAGCCUGUAUCCGAUGAAGAUAAUGAAUUUGAGGAAUAAUUAAUUGCUUGGAGAACAUUUCUGAGUGACAUCUAUGGAGUGACUUUGAAUGCUGGUCCAUAAUCAGACAACAAAAUGAAAUGCUGGCGUUUGACGUCUGAUGAAAUCAGACCCCUUAGGACAGAGGCAAGCAAGACAGUGCUGGGUGUUUUUUUAAGGUGGCUCUGAAUAAAACAUGAGAAGUCUUGUGAAAAAGUUUCUGCUGGGCAAGCAGUUGUCAGAAAGUGCCUGGGCUGGUACAACUUUAAAUGUACUUUCACCUGUUUUAGGUUUAAUCAAUUCUGUUUGUGAUGGUGGCAGAAACGUGUACAGGAUAGCAGUAAACACUAGAACGCGUAUGGGCGGAUUUUGUUUGCCUAUUAACAAAUACCUGGCAACCUCACUUUUGCUACCGUGUAAACUGAGCAUGCUUUCAAAGCAUGCAUAUAAAGGAUGUAACUGGUAGGUUCAGUUGCUAUGUUUUGUAAUAAGUUAUCAGAAAUCAAAUUGCUAAGUUAAACACUAUCAUAUUUCUUAAUGCAUGUAUGUUUGUGUAGAGUCCAUAAAGGCUGACAAAAAUAGCAUAGCAGAAAGUAAUAUACAAAUGUAUACAAUAUUAUAUAACUUAGUUAUUCUGAAAAUGUUUAAACAGCCCUUCAUCCCAAAUCGCAAACUGUGACAUUACAUAUUGAAUAAGAUUAAAGUCCCUCUGUAAUUUAAUAACUUAAAAUUCAUUUUUGAGCAUCAUAAUAACAUAUGUAAAAGUUUUGUCUUGUGACAAUAACUUCUUCAUGCUUUAAAACAGCUUGAAUGUAACUCCCUUGCCUUAUUUAGUAUACGUGGAUCUAUGAAUAAUAUGCAAAUUAGUCUCUGCUUCUACUCAAUUGCACAGCUAGAACCAUAAAUAAGAAUAUGCAAAUUGGUCCCCACCUCCAUUCUUUCCCACCAUCUCAGACCAUAGAUAUAUAUGUAAAUA